GAUCCUGGCUCAGGACGAACGCUGGCGGCGCGCCUAACACAUGCAAGUCGAACGAGCGAGAGAGAGUUUACUUUUUCGAGCGAGUGGCGAACGGGUGGGUAACGCGUGAGGAACCUGCCUCAAAGAGGGGGACAACAGUUGGAAACGACUGCUAAUACCGCAUAAGCCCACGGCUCGGCAUCGAGCAGAGGGAAAAGGAGCAAUCCGCUUUGAGAUGGCCUCGCGUCCGAUUAGCUAGUUGGUGAGG
rnacentral:rRNA from 1 species